AUGAACGCUGGCGGCGUGCCUAAUACAUGCAAGUCGAGCGAACAGAUGAGGAGCUUGCUCCUCUGACGUUAGCGGCGGACGGGUGAGUAACACGUGGAUAACCUACCUAUAAGACUGGGAUAACUCCGGGAAACCGGAGCUAAUACCGGAUAAUAUAUUGAACCGCAUGGUUCAAUAGUGAAAGACGGUUUUGCUGUCACUUAUAGAUGGAUCCGCGCCGCAUUAGCUAGUUGGUAAGGUAACGGCUUACCAAGGCAACGAUGCGUAGCCGACCUGAGAGGGUGAUCGGCCACACUGGAACUGAGACACGGUCCAGACUCCUACGGGAGGCAGCAGUAGGGAAUCUUCCGCAAUGGGCGAAAGCCUGACGGAGCAACGCCGCGUGAGUGAUGAAGGUCUUCGGAUCGUAAAACUCUGUUAUUAGGGAAGAACAAAUGUGUAAGUAACUAUGCACGUCUUGACGGUACCUAAUCAGAAAGCCACGGCUAACUACGUG
rnacentral:rRNA from 1 species